rnacentral:lncRNA from 1 species
CUUGUGUCUUCUACCUCCUCAGAUAGCACGUGACCAUGCAGUUAGUUGAAGUAGGAUUUGGCACAUCUGAGGGAGCAGAAACAUCUGCUGCAGCACUAGGAUCUGCUUCCACCAGACCAACUGGGGCUGGGCUACAAAACCUCCAUGGACAAGUGAUCUGAGGAAAUACUGUUUGAAAAGAAAUAUUUUGCCCUUUCAUGUGGAUUCUCACACUCUUUGUAUGUGUCUUGCCUGUGGAAGCAGCAAAGUGGACUGCAGCAGCACUUUCUUCCCCUCUGGCUUCUUGUUUCUGCCCUGCAGCAGCUCCUAAUUAUGACCAAGCAGGACUUUUAUCACCCAGGAGUCCAUCCUCCCUAAGGGGCAUCAGCACUGGUGGCCAAACCCUGUCAUUUGGCUGCUGCAACAAGAGCCAGAGUAAUAGCAGGAAAGGACAGAGAUGUAGGUGCUCAGGCUAUUUAGAACUGCUAGUGGCCUAUGGCCAGGCUGUGCUUUCAGAAGACGUCAAAGUCGGAAUUUCCAGAAGCAGCAAGCUAUGGCUAGUUACGUAUUGA